CCCUCACAUCCAGAUAGUAUAGAGUCUCAUGGCUGAAGGCCACAUUCAUGGGGAUGGAUUCUUUGUGAUGGUAAAUCACUGAGACCAAACCAAGAAUGAAUUACAUUGUGAAAAAGAAUGUGUAUUAUAAGAUUGAAUUUGUGAUCUCGAGGUGUGUAUAAUCACUAUCCUUAAGGUGAUUGUUGCCCCCACUAUAAACAAUUUGUCGUG
rnacentral:lncRNA from 1 species